rnacentral:lncRNA from 1 species
UUGGGCAAGAGAGAAAAAAUGUCAGUUUAGUCCUCAGUACAUUCUUUGGGUUUGAACAGAUGUCUAAUGCCAUAUCCACCACUGUCAUAUCAUACAGAGUAGUUUCACAGUCUGGCAAAUCCCCUGUGCUCUGCCUGUUCAUCCCUCUCUCCCCCAACCCCUGCCAACCACUGCUCUUUUUACUGUCUCCAUGGUUUUGCCUUUUCCAGAAUGUGACAGAGUUGGAAUCUUACAGUAUGCAGCCUUUUCAGAUCAGUUUCUUUCAGUUAGUAAUAUGCAUUUAAGGUUCUUUCAUGCAGCUCAAUAAUGUUUGGCAGAGACUCAAAGGCAGGGAGAGGAAUGGGAAAUCUGCGGUGGAAAAGGGGAAGAGGAGUCCUGAUGGGGUUGCCAGCCACCAGAGGCGGCUGCUAGUGAAGUGGCCUCAUUGUCUGGGGUGACACCCAAUGUUCAUUGUCUCACAGCCACAGAGAUCAAGGGCAUGGACACACAAAGGGUGAGGUUAAGAGUGGAAAUUUAAUACGUGAAAGAAAGAGAAUAGCUCUCUGCUACAGAGAGGGGUCCCGGAAAAAUAGGUCGCUGAUGCACAGUGCAAUGCAAAGAUUUUUAUAGAUGAGCUAGUGGGGAGCAGUGUCUGAUCUACAUCGGGUGUGAAAAAACAGGACCAGGUGUGCCAUCUGCAUAGGGCACGAAUCUCUGGACGCCCCCACACCAAUCUUCUAUUUAUUACGCAGGCCGCGGCUAAAUCCACUGCGCCUUCCCCGUUUUUUCUCGAACUGCCCAAGCCAGACUCCACCUCCAAGACAAGACUCGGAAAAAGGUGUGAAGCUCAAGUCGGAUGACCACGACCCACGCGUGGCCACGGACGGGCCCAUGUUAUUCUUCGCAGUCCUCCUGUAAUGGCCGGGCGGGUCCUCGCCUCCAGGGCGGGGCUUGGAGAUAAUGGGUGUAAUGGAAGGCCUGAGGACCCGGCCCCACGCCAGUCGGAGUCCGGGCGGAGUAACCCAUCCCCCGUUCACACUCUCGGAAGGCCCGUCGAUUCCUGCGUGUACUAGUCGACCCGCUCAGGCCACAGCACUCCGAGCUCAAUAGUGCGCCUCCAACGCUGACCCGCAGGUUUAAUCUCCGACGAAAGGACGAAGAGUACACCCGGCAAAGCCGGGCUCAUCCUGCCAGUGCUGCCAGUCCCCUUGAACUCUGCACGGCGCCCUGUGGCCAAAUCCCCUUUCUUGCCGGCUUCGCCAGAGCGCCGGAGAGAAAACCUUAACAGUGCAGCCAGGUGGCGCCCAACAGCCGGCGCAAGCAGCCGCGGAUCGGAUCGGCAUAGCCAGCGGGCGAGGCCUCUCCUAGUCCCUGACCACCUGGGAUCGCGUUUCUUGGCCUGGGCCGGGUGGAGGAGCUCCCAGUUGGCACGGCCUGGAAUGACGCGACCCCGCAGCCGAAGGGGACUUGAAAAUUUUUCCUAACCACCGUUCCGCUCCGAGUUACUGCUACCUGCUAGGACAGACCUCCCACGCGGCUCCGGGCCUGGCGAUCUUCCGCGGGAACCGGGAACGUUUCCGGAGAUCCCCGCAGGCCGGCGCCCUGCCUCGGCUUCCCAGUGCAGCGGGGUCGCGGGCUCCCCGAGGAUUCCAAAGUUUUGCGGGGCGCCUGCGGCGGGAGGGACCCUGAAGUUGAAACUGUGAAAGGCAGAACGUGGGUGAAUCGCUUUUAUUCUGUCUUUUCGGAGUGGGAAAGCCUUUCUAAAGCAUAAAAUAAACCCAGAAGCCAUCAAGGAAAUGAUUGAUCAGCUUGACAACAUAAAGUUUCACAAGCAACGUCAAAAGAUAACAAAUGAGUGUGGGGAUCGCUUAUGCAUAAGAUAAGAAUAUUGAUUUCAUUCACAAUAGCCAAGAUACGGAAGCAAGCUAAGCAUCUACCAGUGGGUGAACGGAAAAAGAAAAUGUGAUGUAUGUACAUCAGGGGGUACUAUCCCGCCUUUGAAUAAAAGGAAAUCCUGCUAUUGGCGACAACGUGGAUGAACGUGGAGGCCAUUGUACUAAGCAAAGUAAGCCAGGCACAGAAACAAAUACCACUUGGUCUCUCCUGUAUGUGGAAUCUGAAAAUAGUUGAACUCAUAGAAACGGAGAGUAGAACUGUGGCUACCUGAGGCCGGGGGAAGGGCAGGAGGGAGGAGAUGUUGUUCAAAGGGUACAAGGAUUCAGUUAGACAAGAGGAAUAUGUUUUAGGGAUCCACA